rnacentral:misc_RNA from 1 species
CUAAAGCCAAGAACAUCUCAGAAAAGAACGGCAAAAGUGUGACAUUGAAACAGGAUAUUAAUAAAAAACUUAAGGAAGUUAUGGAUCGGCCUGAUAUGAAGGAGAAGAUAGAAGCAUUAAAGGCUGAAGUUCAAAUGGUGGGAGCUUCCAAUGAAGGCAAAUUAGAUGAAGAGGCAAAGGAGAGAAUUGUCACGAUGAGGAAAGAGAUAAAGGUGGAACUGGCNAUUAAGUCCAUGGGUUUGGAUGUUGAGAUUGUGAGUUCAAAAGCGAAAGAACUUGGUGAGCAGAAUCCUUUACUAGACUUCAAGGCUAAGGUAGAAAGUUUGAAGGAACAAACUAACAAGAAAAUUGAAGAUCUAAUCAACUCAUCAGAUCUUAAAAACAUGAUUGAGUUGCUGAAGGUAGAGGUAGCGAAGGCGGGAAAGAAACCUGAUGUGGCAUCAAAAAAUAAAAUUGAGGCUUUAGAACAA